CUUGAACGCUGGCGGCAGGCCUAACACAUGCAAGUCGAGCGAGCGGCGGACGGGUGAGUAAUGUAUGGGGACUGCCCGCUCGUGGGGGAUAACUACUGGCAACGGUUGCUAAUACCGCCUUCUAUCGGAUAACCCAUAUGGGAUUAGCUAGUAGGUGGGGUAAAGGCUCACCUAGGCGACGAUCUCUAGCUGGUAUGAGAGGAUGAUCAGGGAAACUGGGAGUGAGACACGGCACAGACUCACACGGAGGAAGAAGGGGGGAAUAGUGCACAAGGGGCGCAAGACUGAUGCAGCCAUGCCGCGUGGAUGAAGAAGGCAGUAGGGUUGUAAAGUACUUUCAGCGGGGAGGCGUUACCCGCAGAAGAAGCACCGGCGAACUCCGUGCCAGCAGCCGCGGUAAUUC
rnacentral:rRNA from 1 species